rnacentral:tRNA from 1 species
GUCUCUGGUCGUUUAAGCGGCAGGACGUUUCGUCCCGAGAGGACGCGAUUUGUGCGGGUUCGAAUCCUGCUCAGGGACA